UUUUCACACUAGGGGCGCCAAUAGGCUGAGACGAUUAAAUUCGAACCCUUGAACCUGAUCUGGAUGAUACCAGCGGAGGAAAGUGUUGGAACCCUAAU
rfam:Lactobacillus oligofermentans DSM 15707 = LMG 22743 strain DSM 15707 NODE_5, whole genome shotgun sequence.